UACGGAGGAUGCGAGCGUUAUCCGGAUUCAUUGGGUUUAAAGGGUGCGUAGGCGGAAUAGUAAGUCAGUGGUGAAAGCUUGCGGCUUAACCGUAAAAUUGCCGUUGAUACUGUUAUUCUUGAGUGUAGUUGAAGUGGGCGGAAUGUGUAAUGUAGCGGUGAAAUGCUUAGAUAUUACACAGAACACCAAUUGCGAAGGCAGCUCACUAAGCUAUUACUGACGCUGAGGCACGAAAGCGUGGGGAGCAAAC
rnacentral:rRNA from 1 species